CUUUGUGGAAGUGGGUCAGCGGCGGGUCCGGGUUCGGGUUCGGGAUCGGGAUCGGGAUCAGGAGGGGGUCCUCGCCCCCUUGGACGGGGAGCCGGAGAAGGAUUAUUCUCUGCGGGGCAACACCAACAAUUUCCAUUCAACCUGCGGUGAGAGGUUUAUUGGAAGAAAAACCCCAACUGGAAGCAAACCAUGGCUAAAGAUGUGGGAAUAGCAACAAGUGAACUGGCCCGAGGACUGAGAGCAUCAACUGGAGAGAACAACACUGAAUCAGCUGACUUGGAGUUCCCAGUGAGUCAGUGAGGAGGAAGUUUGUUAGACCUGCGGUGGGAGGUUUCUUGGAAGAAAAACCCCAACUAGAAGCAAACCACGGCUAAGACAAGGGAACAGCAACAAGUGAACCAGCCCGAGGACUGAGAGCACCGACUGGAGAGGACCCAUCUGACUCAGGGUUUCCAGUGAUUCAGUCAGAAGAAAGUUUGGAUAAAAAAUGAGAAGAAAUUUGUCUCCAGGAAUCUCAAACACGACACGCCAGUUUUGCUGUCUC